AUCUGCACAAAAAAAAAUAAAAUUUCGCGCGUGUUUUUGACAGUAAAUUUGGUGGGAAAUGCGUGUUUUAUGUGUUGUUCAGAAACGCGAAUGAAUAAUUCGAUUGUGUUGCGAGACUGUUCGAAGUUCAAACUGUGGAAUAACGUGGCGUCCUGUAUGGAGAAAUGGUUCGGUGAUAAACGCUUAUGGUUAUUCGGUAACAACCUGCCGCUGCUACCGAGACGGUCCCGUGCGAGCAGUCGCGCGAUGGAGCGCUAUGAGAAGCUGGCUAAGCUGGGCGAAGGCUCAUACGGGCUCGUGUACAAGUGCCGCAACAGGGACUCGGGGGAGAUCGUCGCUGUCAAGAAGUUUGUGGAGAACGAGGACGACCCGCUCAUCAGGAAGAUCGCGCUUAGGGAGAUACGCAUGCUGAAGAACUUGAAGCACCCAAACCUGGUAAAUCUGAUCGAGGUGUUCCGUCGCAAGCGCAAGCUCCAUCUGGUGUUCGAGUACUGUGACCACACUGUGCUGCACGAGAUGGAGAAAUAUCCUUCGGGCUGUCCAGAGCACCUCUCGAAGCAGAUCAUCUGGCAGACCCUGCAAGGCGUAGCGUACUGUCACCGGCACAACUGCAUCCAUCGUGAUGUCAAACCUGAGAACAUCCUGCUCACCGGAGAAGGUGUCGUGAAGCUGUGUGACUUCGGCUUCGCUAGGAUGAUCAGUGGCAGCUGCUCCUCAGAAUACUCUGUGCACACCAUGAUACCUUUCGGCGUCGACGUCAGGAGGAGAACUAGUCCAGGCCCCGGUGAGAGCUACACAGACUACGUGGCGACGAGGUGGUACCGCGCUCCUGAACUGCUUGUGGGAGACACCAUGUACAGCACGCCGGUUGACGUCUGGGCUAUCGGCUGCGUGUUUGCGGAGUUGCUGUCGAGCGAGGCGCUGUGGCCGGGCAAGAGUGACCUGGACCAACUGUACCUCAUCAGGAAGACCCUGGGCGACCUGCUGCCGCGGCACAUGACAAUAUUCUCACAGAACACAUUCUUUCAGGGCAUGGCGCUACCUGAACCGACGUCACUUGAGCCUUUAGAGAAGAAAAUACCACAGAGAUAUAGUAGUAACGACUUGGUUUUAGAUUUUUUAAAGAAAUGUCUAGAUAAGGAUCCGAUGAUGCGGUGGUCGUGCGAGCAGCUGCUGCGGCACCCCAUCUUCGAGAAUUUCCUCUUCACGGUGCCUCACUCCGAUCACGACGAAUUCGAGAAAGUCAGAAGAGCUCAGCAAGAACUCAGAGACCGUAACAUAGAACCCGACGCAGGCACAGGGGACAUCAGUUCCACAGAAGUUACCAAGAAGACAAAUAAUUAAUCGAAGAUUUGAAAGGUUACUUAUUGUUGAUGAAAAUACGGGUCACUCACAACUGACAGGCCGUGACGCGGCCGAGUGGUGCAAUCAUCGCCGCUGCUGCCGCAGCUGAUCGUGGACCGCCACCAGCCCAAGGGCAAGAAGUCUGAGCUGGACGCGCGCUCUCACCUGCCCACCAUUUGACUACCGCGCUACAGGAACUGAUCUCAUCGAAUGCACUACCUACUCGACUGCUGCCUUCUUUUUUCAUCUCCCCGCCAGCUCAUUACAGCGCAGCGGACCAACGACUGCGGUGCGGAAGAACCCAUUCAAAAACGGCUCUUGGUCGAUUCGCACCGGUGCACAAGCGAGCGCUUGUGGUGCGAAACGACUAAAGACCCGGAUCGUGGGUCGCCACCAGCCCAAGGGCAAGAAGUCUGAGCUGGACGCGCGCUCUCACCUACCCACCAUUUGACUACCGUGCCACUGGAACUGACCUCAUCGAAUACAUUGACAACUCGA